GAUGAAGAACGUAGCGAAAUGCGAUAAGUAAUGUGAAUUGCAGAAUUCCGUGAAUCAUCGAAUCUUUGAACGCACAUUGCGCCCCUUGGUAUUCCGAGGGGCAUGCCUGUUCGAGCGUCAUUACACCACUCAAGCUAUGCUUGGUAUUGGGCGUCGUCCUUAGUUGGGCGCGCCUUAAAGACCUCGGCGAGGCCACUCCGGCUUUAGGCGUAGUAGAAUUUAUUCGAACGUCUGUCAAAGGAGAGGAACUCUGCCGACUGAAACCUUUAUUUUUCUAGGUUGACCUCGGAUCAGGUAGGGAUACCCGCUGAACUUAAGCAUAUCAAUAAGCGGAGGA
rnacentral:misc_RNA from 1 species